AGGUGGGUCCCACUUGUAGCCUAUAGGGCUAGUCUGCUUGCCUAUAUAUCUUUUCUUAUGCAUUUCUUAUUUUUGUAUGGGUUUGAUUUGUUUUAUUAUAAUAUAUUUAUAGGUUUAUAUUAAAGUAUUUUGGCUGGGCAAAGUUAGCAUAUAUAUGUCUGGGAAUCUUUCACCUACAUAGGUGGUGAUGAGCUAAAGCAUAAGGUCCAUAUAUGGUUGCAACCUUUAAUAUAGAUAGAUAAAGGAUAUGUGGAAGCAGGUUGGCAUAGGGGGCUUCUUAAGUUCAUAACCUUUUAAACUUACCAGGUAAACCAUAGGGAAAGAACCAAAAUAACCGGGUAGGAUAGAAAUAACAAAUGUGAGAAUGAGCUAAUGUCAUUAGUAUGUAUGUAUGUCAUCAAUACGUACAAACAUACCAGCCUAUGAAGUAAGUGUACCCCAACAGUUUGUGGGUGAGAAAACUAAGUUUGGACAUAGGAGAACUCAAAUACUCAAGCUCAAUAAGGGGGGUGACCAACCAUGCCAAGGAAGCUUCUGGGUUUCUAAGCUUCAAGUUUCCAGGCUGCCUUGCUUGUUAGUCUAUUAGUCUGUUAGUUCUUAAUUGUAAGUUUUAAAUCCAUUAAGUAAAAUUCUGUUAGCUUUGAUAGCUCUUCAGCUUCUCCUAAGUUCUGCACCUACUGCUCAAGAACUGAGGAACCUGGACCUGAACUCUCUUGGCAUGCCAGAGGUGAGGCUGGUCCUUUGUGUCUUACCACCAGGUUAUCAAGGAAGGUUUAUAAUAAUAAUACC